GUGCUUACACAUGCAAGUCGAACGGUGAUGAAGAGCUUGCUCUUUGGAUCAGUGGCGAACGGGUGAGUAACACGUGAGCAAUCUGCCCUUGACUCUGGGAUAACUGCGGGAAACUGUAGCUAAUACCGGAUAUGGCCCAGGAAGGCAUCUUUUUGGGUGGAAAGAAUUUUGGUCAAGGAUGAGCUCGCGGCCUAUCAGCUAGUUGGUGAGGUAAUGGCUCACCAAGGCGACGACGGGUAGCCGGCCUGAGAGGGUGACCGGCCACACUGGGACUGAGACACGGCCCAAACUCCUACGGGAGGCAGCAGUGGGGAAUAUUGCACAAUGGGCGCAAGCCUGAUGCAGCAACGCCGCGUGAGGGACGACGGCCUUCGGGUUGUAAACCUCUUUUAGUAGGGAAGAAGCGACUGGGUUUUCCUGGGAGUGACGGUACCUGCAAAAAAAGCACCGGCUAACUACGUGCCAGCAGCCGCGGUAAUACGUAGGGUGCAAGCGUUGUCCGGAAUUAUUGGGCGUAAAGAGCUCGUAGGCGGUUUGUCGCGUCUGCUGUGAAAACCCGAGGCUCAACCUCGGGCCUGCAGUGGGUACGGGCAGACUAGA
rnacentral:rRNA from 1 species